rfam:Streptomyces ambofaciens ATCC 23877, complete genome.
CUUCACCGAGCCGAGCCACAGCGGGUGGCCGGCUGCGCGGUUCCGGCCGUAGGCGGCCAGCAGUGCCUGCGCCUC